GGGGCGAAGUAGCUGAUUUCACACUGUCAAGAAAAGCUUCUAUCGAGUUUAAAGGCGCCCGUACCGUAAACCGACACAGGUGGGUGAGGAGAGUAUCCUAAGGCCAGCGAGAGAACUAUUGUUAAGGAACUCGGCAAAAUGACCCCGUAACUUAGGGAGAAGGGGUGCCUGUCUAUGACAGGCCGCAGAGAAUAGGCCCAAGCGACUGUUUACCAAAAACACAGGUUUCUGCUAAGUCGCAAGACGAUGUAUAGGAGCUGACGCCUGCCCGGUGCUGGAAGGUUAAGGGGAUCUGUUAGAGCAAUCGAAGCAGUGAACUUAAGCCCCAGUAAACGGCGGCCGUAACAAUAACGGUCCUAAGGUAGCGAAAUUCCUUGUCGGGUAAGUUCCGACCCGCACGAAAGGCGUAACGAUUUGGGCACUGUCUCAACAAUAGACUCGGUGAAAUUGUAAUCCCGGUGAAGAUGCCGGGUACCUGCGACAGGACGGAAAGACCCCAUGGAGCUUUACUGUAGCUUGACGUUGGGUCUUGGUACUACAUGUACAGGAUAGGUGGGAGACUAUGAAGCAUGGACGCCAGUCUGUGUGGAGUCAUCCUUGGGAUACCACCCUUGUAGUACUGGGAUCCUAACCAUAGGCCUUGAAUCAGGUCUUGGAACACCGUCAGGUGGGCAGUUUGACUGGGGCGGUCGCCUCCUAAAAAGUAACGGAGGCGCCCAAAGGUUUCCUCAGCACGGUCGGAAAUCGUGCGAAGAGUGUAAAGGCAAAAGGAAGCUUGAUUGCAAGACAUACAGGUCGAGCAAGGACGAAAGUCGGACUUAGUGAUCCGGUGGUACCGCAUGGAAGGGCCAUCGCUCAACGGAUAAAAGCUACCCUGGGGAUAACAGGCUUAUCUCCCCCAAGAGUCCACAUCGACGGGGAGGUUUGGCACCUCGAUGUCGGCUCAUCACAUCCUGGGGCUGUAGUAGGUCCCAAGGGUUGGGCUGUUCGCCCAUUAAAGUGGUACGCGAGCUGGGUUCAGAACGUCGUGAGACAGUUCGGUCCCUAUCCGUCGCAGGCGUAGGAAAUUUGAGAAGACCUGUCCUUAGUACGAGAGGACCGGGAUGGACGUACCUCUGGUGUACCAGUUGUUCUGCCAAGGGCAUGGCUGGGUAGCUAUGUACGGAAUGGAUAAGCGCUGAAAGCAUCUAAGCGCGAAGCCAACUUCAAGAUAAGAUUUCCCACCGUAAGGGUAAGACCCCAGGAAGACUACCUGGUUGAUAGGUCGAAGGUGUAAGUGCAGUAAUGUAUUUAGCUUAUCGAUACUAAUAGGUCGAGGACUUGACC
rnacentral:rRNA from 1 species